rnacentral:rRNA from 1 species
GAUGAACGCUGGCGGCGUGCCUAAUACAUGCAAGUCGAGCGAAUGGAUUAAGAGCUUGCUCUUAUGAAGUCAGCGGCGGACGGGUGAGUAACACGUGGGUAACCUGCCCAUAAGACUGGGAUAACUCCGGGAAACCGGGGCUAAUACCGGAUAACAUUUUGAACCGCAUGGUUCGAAAUUGAAAGGCGGCUUCGGCUGUCACUUAUGGAUGGACCCGCGUCGCAUUAGCUAGUUGGUGAGGUAACGGCUCACCAAGGCAACGAUGCGUAGCCGACCUGAGAGGGUGAUCGGCCACACGGGGACUGAGUCACGGCCCAGACUCCUACGGGAGGCAGCAGUAGGGAAUCUUCCGCAAUGGACGAAAGUCUGACGGAGCAACGCCGCGUGAGUGAUGAAGGCUUUCGGGUCGUAAAACUCUGUUGUUAGGGAAGAACAAGUGCUAGUUGAAUAAGCUGGCACCUUGACGGUACCUAACCAGAAAGCCACGGCUAACUACGUGCCAGCAGCCGCCGUAA